GUAAUAUCAAAACCAAAGUGAUCAGCCUAUAAACCGAUGAAAAAUAACAAGAAUUUCUAAUUUUAAUCAACUUCCGAGCUACACAAGAUAUGUUAUUGAGGUGAGAGAAAGCUUCGUCCAUUCUCACAAGUAUAAGAAACUUGUCAUCAGCCCAAACAAAAGGGCCAAAACGGAAAAAAAUAAAUAAAACCUUGGCAUUUUCAAUUUAAGUCAUCUUCCUCCGCUUCUUUCCCUCUUUCGCCUCUGUAAGACUUCAACUGCAACACCCAGCGGCUACUGAAAAUUCUGGUGAACUAGCACCCGACGAGGUGGAUGAUGGCUCCGCCACUGCCUACUACCAAGCAAUCAUCCAGAAAAUAUGAAAAAAAUAAAUAAAUAAAUAAAGUGGUUAUGGUCGAUGAGAUCACAUGAAAGUUUGAGAAAAUUAAUCUGUAGGCGCCAGCAGAAUCAAACAAAUAUGUGAUUCCAAUUCCCAAAGGACGUUCACUAAUGAGCUAGGAGGGAUCCUAUAUUUUUACAUUUAUUCCCCUUGACUUGGUAAACUAAUGAAGGGCAAGUUUGACAAAGAUUUUAAAAGCCAAUUGAGAUUAAAAAUUUGAUUUUGAACAUAUUUAAAUAAUUCUUUGAAAGUGUGUUGUCCAAUUAGAAGAGCGUUUAGAGUGAAUUGACCUCAAGAAACUCUUCUACAAACAGCAGAAUCUAAAAUAGAAAUCCUAACAAACGGACCCUAAAUCUUGUCACUCACUGCAUUAUCGUGUUGAGAACUUGAUUUUCAAGCAAUUUCAUGGGACAUUAAUCGAUGGGUCUUGGACUUAAUUGAAAUGCUAUUUAGUUCAUAUGAUGUGAGUUGAAUAAAGUUGUAUCAUUAAAUGGCUUACAAACAUGUUCGGUAGAAUUAGAAUUCUGUGAGAAAAGUUUCUUGGUGUCUUCAUUCUCCUUAUCGAUAUAAAUCCCCCCCUUGAAAAUCUUGUUUUAUAUAGAAUUCCACUCUCUUAAAUUGCGAUUUUGUGGAAGAAACAAUGCUGUUAUAGGCUAGAUAAGGAUGGUGAUAUUGGACGUUCUGAAGCUACGCGGAAUGAGCUUUCGUGAAUAGACAUCAAAGUAUUGAUCGAUGAUAAUUCACACAUGUUGAUAAUUAACAAUUAGACAUGAUGAAAGGGUCCUGUUUGUUCAAUUGAGUCAUUAGAUGAGAAAUGCUAAUGCGUAAUUACACGCUGAAAAGUGAACCUUUAAAGAUGGGCACAAAUCGAAUGAUGCAAACCAUUCGAAACUCUUGCUAUCUAAUGAUCAUAUUGAAUGGUGCUAAACACAGGGCAUCUUAUGUGUGCGUCUGAAGGUCUGUCCAUAUACCUUCCCCAUGCUAGAUUUUGACAUGUAUUCAUCGUCUUAUUACCUCUAAACUAAUUGUAAGGCUUGACGUUCACGCCUUCUGCAUUUUAAAACCUUGAUUUUUAUUCACAUUUUGUGAUAUCAACAAUUACUACCAAUUGAAAGAAUUAGUUCAAUUAAAAAAAAAAAUUUAUUCAUUUGUAAUUAUAUGUGGCACGAACGAAGAUAAAAUGACAAGCACAUAUAAAACGUAAUUGAUGUUAAUAUUUAUUUGUAAUCAUGUCAAAAAUCAAGAAUCACAAAAUAAUAAAUUGAUAAAUCGAAUUCAUACCUGCGGAAGUCAUUGUUGAUAUGAAUAGUAGUUGUAAUAGCAGUCAAGAUCUUCCCCACCUUACUCCUCAUAAAAGUAUUAGCCAUCAAUUGGGCAAGCUAAUGAAAACAUAUAUGGAGAGGAGAGGGGACCUAGCCUAUAUAUAGGAAAUAAUUUGAGCCGUCCCAUUACGACUAGAAUUCUAAUUAGGGUUUAUUUCCGGCCCACAUACUUUAAAUUACCAUAUCUAAUUAAUUACAACUCGUAAGGUGUAAAAGGCUCAAUUGAUCACUUAAUAAAUUUGGCUCAAACACAAUUAUCAUUAUGAGCCAUAUAUCUAACCCGUAAAAUUUUGCAAUCGAAUGUGAAGCCUACAUAUGGAAUUGUUAAUUAUUCCAACAUUCUCCCACUCGGGCAAACAUUUGAUUGCCAUAACAAAGUUUUAACACUUGGGUUAGACUACAUAGGUGGCCACAAAAGUAUAGCUCCAAUGAUGACACCUUACGUAACAUGAUCCGGUCCAACAAGAAUAUUAACACCGAACAUGGAA
rnacentral:lncRNA from 1 species